rnacentral:rRNA from 1 species
UACGGAGGGUGCAAGCGUUGCUCGGAAUUAUUGGGCGUAAAGCGCGUGUAGGCGGCUAUUUAAGUCUGGUGUUAAAGCCCGGGGCCUAACCCCGGAAGUGCACUGGAUACUGGAUGGCUAGAGGACGGGAGAGGAGAGUGGAAUUCCUGGUGUAGGGGUGAAAUCCGUAGAUAUCAGGAGGAAAAUCGGAAGCCAAGGCGGCUCUCUGGCCCGUAUCUGACGCUCAGACGCGAAAGCGUGGGUAGCAAACAGG